rnacentral:rRNA from 1 species
AUUGAACGCUGGCGGCAGGCCUAACACAUGCAAGUCGAACGAGUGGCGGACGGGUGAGUAAUGUCUGGGAAACUGCCUGAUGGAGGGGGACAACUACUGGAAACGGUAGCUAAUACCGCAUACCAUCAGAUGUGCCCAGCUGGGAUUAGCUUGUUGGUGGGGUAAUGGCUCACCAAGGCGACGAUCCCUAGCUGGUCUGAGAGGAUGACCAGCCACACGGGAACUGUGACACGGUCCAGACUCCUACGGGAGGCAGCAGGGGGGAAUAUUGCACAAUGGGCGCAAGCCUGAUGCAGCCAUGCCGCUUGUAUGAAGAAGGCCUUCAGUUUGUAAAGUACUUUCAGCUGGGAGGCGUUACCCGCAGAAGAAGCACCUGCUAACUCCGAGCCAGCAGCCGCGGUAAUUC